rnacentral:rRNA from 1 species
UACGUAGGGGGCAAGCGUUGUCCGGAUUUAUUGGGCGUAAAGAGCUCGUAGGUGGUUCGGUAAGUCGGAUGUGAAAUCUCCAGGCUCAACCUGGAGGGGUCAUUCGAUACUGCCGUGACUAGAGUUCGGUAGGGGAGUGUGGAAUUCCUGGUGGAGCGGUGAAAUGCGUAGAUAUCGUAAGGAAGACCAGUGGCGAAGGCGGGUCUCUGGACAGUUCCUGACGCUGAGGCACGAAGGUCAGGGGAGCAAACGGG